UGGGGAAUAUUGCACAAUGGGCGCAAGCCUGAUGCAGCCAUGCCGCGUGUAUGAAGAAGGCCUUCGGGUUGUAAAGUACUUUCAGCGGGGAGGAAGGGAGUAAAGUUAAUAACUUUGCUCAUUGACGAUACCCGCAGUAGAAGCACCGGCUAACUCCGUGCCAGCAGCCGCGGUAAUACGGAGGGUGCAAGCGUUAAUCGGAAUCACUGGGCGUAAAGCGCACGCAGGCGGUUUGUUAAGUCAGAGGUGAAAUCCCCGGGCUCAACCUGGGAACUGCAUCUGAUACUGGCAAGCUUGAGUCUCGUAGAGGGGGGUAGAAUUCCAGGUGUAGCGGUGAAAUGCGUAGAGAUAUGGAGGAAUACCGGUGGCGAAGGCGGCCCCCUGGACGAAGACUGACGCUCAGGUGCGAAAGCGUGGGGAGCAAACAGG
rnacentral:rRNA from 1 species